UACGGAGGGUGCGAGCGUUGUCCGGAAUCAUUGGGCGUAAAGGGCGCGUAGGUGGCCCGGUCAGCGUGCGGUGAAAGCUCGGGGCUCAACCCCGAGUCGGCCGUGCGAACUGCUGGGCUUGAGCACUGUAGAGGCAGGCGGAAUUCCGGGUGUAGCGGUGGAAUGCGUAGAGAUCCGGAAGAACACCGGUGGCGAAGGCGGCCUGCUGGGCAGUAGCUGACACUGAGGCGCGACAGCGUGGGGAGCAAACAGG
rnacentral:rRNA from 1 species